GGAAACAGAAACUUCAGUUGGUGAAGUGAAACAGACUUAUCCAACUAUCCAAGAUUAUGCAAGCAGGUCUCUUUCUGCCUCUUUUAUGGAGUAAUUUGUUUGGAAGUACACUUUGAAGUUGUGUAUUAGUAUGUCCUUAUAGGAAUUCUCUUUGUCUUUGAAUUACCUUUACCCAAUUCUGUUGAUGGCAAAAUAUAUUCUUAUUCAUUCAGGAAGGGGGUCCUAAUAACCCAUCAUAGGUUGCCCAUGGAACUGUGGCAAUUAAUAAUAGUGACCUUAGUCCAAAAAUAGCCAAUAAUGGUUGCCAAGCGUUUUUAGAGCCAAUGGCAUAUGCCUGAGGGAUAGUUGGAGGAGCAAAGACUUCAGUUUGGGUCAUAGAACAGAUUGAAUGAUGGAUUUAACUCUACAGUGGUGGUCUCAUUAGCAUCUUGCCUCACCAACAAACCAAGCACCAGAGAGAACAUGCUUCAGCCUCCUACCCAGCAACCACCAAGCUGCUUUUGUGGGGCUUUGUGUUAACAGACACAAUUUAACUGCUCUGUGAGGUUCCGUGCACGGGUGCCACUUGCUUACAAAGCUAGAUGGGCUAUGUCAGCAGUUUCCAAUACUGGUGAUGUAGUUGAAAACAUUCCAUGAAAACACUAGCAGUUAACACACACUGAGUGCUUGCUGCAUCCCAGGCACUAUUCAAAACGACUCAGUAAGGUAGGUACUGCUGUUGUCCUGAUUGAGCAGAUGUUGAAAUGAGCAUAAAGAGCUGUUAGGUCUCACAUCCAAAAGCAGCAGCCCAUCAAUAGCAGAGUUGAGCCCAGAAAAUCUGGGUCCAGAAUCUGUGUUUUCAAAUUGUUAUGCUAUUCUGCCCUCUUCCCCACCCUUACUGUAUAGUUUGAUAUAGGGGAUUAUUACACAUCAGAACCGAGCUGUCUUUCUCCCAGUCUCCUGAAGGGCAUGUUUGUUUGCUUGUUUUUCCCUUUUAAGGUGUCAUCGGAUAACAACUUUUCUGGAUCCCAAGAGUCAGUGUCAGCUCUAAGAUUUGGGUUGCUGUGAAAAUUUUCUGACUGAAUACAGUGUUCCUGCGGAUUGGUAAAGAACCUGUAACUUUUUCAACCAAUGUGUUUCUGGAAAGGAAUUAUCAUGGGAUCUCUCUGCUCCCCUCCUUGGAGGUGAGGCCUGCUGGGCUGGCCUGGCUUGUCUGACCCUGAGUGGCCUGCCAGGGACACUGAGGUUCCUACCCACAGCUCUGAAAGGGGAACCAAGACUCCCAGACGGGGUAGCCAGCCAGUGAACUCGGGAAGUUUAUUAUAACGGGUCAACGAAACAAGAGAGCAAUGAGGUAGGUAAAGAGAGCUGAAGCCAGGUGGAAUGGGAUUAGAAACCCAGUGAAGGCAGGAGAAGGAGAGGCAACCCAAAGACAGCCGCUGAAGGGCAUUGCGGGUAGUUUUGAGCAACUCUGCUACAUCAGAGACGGGAAGGUGUUGGCAGAAGCACAAGCAUGUUUGAAUAAACGUCACAAACUGUAGAGAAAACUUAAAAGGCUAUUCAAAUCUUUACUAAUUUAUUUAUUUUUUCUUUAUUGAUUAAGGUAUUACAUAUGUGUCCUUAUCCCCUUUACUAACUUAUUAUGCCUUACAAAAAUGUAACCAGUAUGAACAAUUCUGCGCAUUCUUUCUUCUUAGUGUUGUGAAUAGAGUCUUUCCAGAAAUCAACAUAGUCUAUAUUCUUUAAUUUCUGGUAGUUUUGUGACAUUUCUUUCUAUUGCCAAUUGGCCAUUUCCUUAUUCUUGGAUUGGUUCUAGGAUCUGUCCCUUCUGGGCAGUGCUUUGAUAAGGUGUUGUAGGACUGUACCUGCUAAAAUGACAGUCCCCCUGGCCUGCUCAAUGUGGGCUUGGAAUCUUACCAAAAUAGUCAUCCUUGGUCCACCUUGUCCAGGUUUUCACCUGUAACAUAACCAAAGGUGUCCUGGGACUUGGGGCUUCAUAGAAACCUCAAAGGAUUAAUUGAGAAAGACCAAACAAACACAGACUAUGAAAAAAUAGAUUCUAUACUAGUUGCCCUACACAUGACCAGAUAUUCCAUCAGUUUCAAAAUAUUGCAUAGGGGUCUACUAUGUUAACUUUUACAUCCUCUGGCCAUGACUAACCCUUGGGUCUCUGCUGCCCAGUAUGAUUCUUCCUCAGCUUUGUGAUUCUUAUUCUGCUGGCUUCACUUCCUUGCUCUUAGAAUAAAACCUAAGUUUCCAACAGUGGUCAACAGAGUAAGAGCCCCCAAGACGUCCACAUCUUCAUCCCUGGAACCUGAUUAUGUUGCCAUACACAGCGAAAGAGACUUUGCAGAUGUGAUUAAAAUAAGGGCCUUGAUAUGGGAAGAUUAUUCUGGAGUAUCUGGGUGGGCCUAAUGUAAUCAUAAGAGUCCUUAUAAGAGGGAGGCAAGAAGGCCAGAGUCAGAGAAGUCCAUCCUAAGUUCAAGAUUAUAUCUUCUAUCAUCUACAAGUAGAUGAUAGAAGUAGAGAUGGGAGGAAGGUGAGGCCAUGACCCAAGGAAUGCAAGUGGGUUUUAGAAGCUGAAAAAGACAGGUUCUCCCCUGGAGAAAGAGCAGCUGAAGGGUGCUGAGGAACAUGUUGGGUAAAAACCAAGGCUACUACAUUAUACUCUUCAAUGUGGAAUUAGCCUUCUGAAAAUCUAUGAAGUUGUGUACCAGCCACUGGUUUUGCAUAUCAUUGUAUUGGGCUGAUAGUACAAACUAGUGGUUCCCCCAAAAGAUAUGUUCAAGUCUUAACCCCAGAACUUGUGAAUGUGAUCUUAUUUUAUUAAAUAAAAAAAAAUGUUUGCAGAUGUGAUUAAAGAUCUCAAGAUGAUAUAAUCUUGAACUUAGAAUGGGUCCUAACUCCAAUGACAGAUGUUCUUGGAAAAGAAAGGCAGAGGGGACUGUGAGGCACAAAGACCCACAGGGGCAAGGCCUUGUGAAGAGGGAGGUACGGACUGGAGCUGUGCUGCAAAGCCCUUGAACACCCAGGGCCACCAGACAUGGCAAGAGGAAAGGAGGGAUUCUCUCCUAGAGUUUACAGAGGGAUCGUGGCCCUGACAGCACCUUCCGAGGGAGGGCAGACUUCUGGUCACCCGAAUUGGGAGAAAAUAAAUUCUUUUUGUUUUUAAGCCCCGUUUGUAGCAUUGUCAUGGCACCACCGAAGACCAAAACAGCGAUCUUCCUUACAGUGUCUGUUAUGGUGAAAGCCAUUAAGAUCCUGUUUGCCUAUCAUGUUGCAAACAAACGGCGCCGCCUUGCCAUCCUCCGCCCUCCCAUCCCUCCAUGCGGCUGGGAUUCUCUCUCACCCGUCUUGUCCUUUAAUGACCCAGUGGCACACACUUCUCUGACUUUGCUCUCGUGCGCAUAGUACAACCAGCAUUAAGAUGAAAAAUGCUUAGCAACGAGGAAGGCGCGGGUGCUGAGCAAUCAGAAUGGACGCUGGCUGCAGGGAUGGAGCAAAGUCCAGGAGGCCCCGCCAUGCCAGGCAUGACCCCUUCGGGUGCUGGGUCGUGGCUACCAGAUUUGGGGCAGAGUCCUAAUGCCAGGGCCCAGGAGGUGAGAAGCUGGUGAGAUUUCCUGAGCCCCAUGGCUCCCCCACACUUGCUGUUCUCUCCCUGCCUGCUUACCGGAACUGAUCUGCAGUGAGGUCUCGGGGUGGAGAGGACAGUGAGAUCAAGGCAGCAUCAACACCAAAAAGGCACAUGGUUUUCUUUAAUAUUUCAUGGAGAUUUAUAUAAAUG